UAUGGCGUGGCCGAGUGGUUAAGGCGAUUGACUCGAAAUGAAGGCGUAGGUUCGAAUCCCGCAGUCUUCA
rnacentral:tRNA from 1 species